AACGAACGCUGGCGGCAUGCCUAACACAUGCAAGUCGAACGAAGCCUUCGGGCUUAGUGGCGCACGGGUGCGUAACGCGUGGGAAUCUGCCCUUUGGUUCGGAAUAACAGUUGGAAACGACUGCUAAUACCGGAUGAUGACGAAAGUCCAAAGAUUUAUCGCCAGAGGAUGAGCCCGCGUAGGAUUAGCUAGUUGGUGUGGUAAAGGCGCACCAAGGCGACGAUCCUUAGCUGGUCUGAGAGGAUGAUCAGCCACACUGGGACUGAGACACGGCCCAGACUCCUACGGGAGGCAGCAGUGGGGAAUAUUGGACAAUGGGCGAAAGCCUGAUCCAGCAAUGCCGCGUGAGUGAUGAAGGCCCUAGGGUUGUAAAGCUCUUUUACCCGGGGUGAUAAUGACAGUACCGGGAGAAUAAGCCCCGGCUAACUCCGUGCCAGCAGCCGCCGUAA
rnacentral:rRNA from 1 species